CCACUUCACGACACGGCCCGACCCAAUAAAUGUGACACAACGACAUGCCGUCUUGUGUCGUAUGUGGGAGCCAUUAGUCUCCGACUCCGAAGAUAAGAUUGCCACUGGCGCACUCGCUCUUUGCCUUCCUCCAUAACCAUUUUUGACUAAAUUUCACGGAAGAAAGAAAAAACAAUUGAAAAAAAAUGGCAGUAGCUAGUCUCAACCUAUCUGGGGCAUUCAGAGGGCUCACCUGACCUUAGCUUCUCCGGGCUUUUCCCCGUCAACUUUCGUACUUGGGUCCCAUACGAGUGGUGGGUCCACCCAAGCCAGCCUUCGUGAGAUUCCCAUUGACCGUUCAAAAUGCGCACAGGAGCCGGGGGCACGAGAACGGCCGGGACUCCAGAGGCCAAAGACUCAGCGUCAAGAUCUUCGGCGAUCAGGCUGCCAAGCCCGGCUCCAUCAUCGUUCGCCAGCGCGGGACCAAGGGAGGAUACUCUUUCUAAUUGAGUGUCGCAUGGUUGGUGAUAAUUAGUUUCGAGGAGAAAUUGUUUUGAGCUCAAGAUUUCAGCUAGCUUUGUGGCUUGCAAACCAGUUGUGGGAACUAGAAGCUACAUUUCGGAUCGACAUAGAUAAUGGAUGGAUAAUGAAUCCUUUCCAGCACUAAAGGGCUUGUGGCAUGCUGUGGGUUGCCCAUGAAAAUGGACAUUGUUAUGCUAGCGCAAAAAUUAAGACUGAGAACUUUGUGUGAAGAAUUCCCCUUUGGGUGAGUUGGUUCAUGGGUGCUACACGAUGCAUUUACAUGUCUCUGCUUAUGAUCUUGAAAUUACGUAGAACAUAGAAAGGCGGUACUAAUAGGAAUACAAUGAAUCUCAUGAACUUCGUUAGUGGUGAUAAAAAUGUAUUCUUCCUUAGUGGGACAACAUGCAUACCACUGUCAUCCUAGUUUUCCCACCUCUUUACACUAUACUUUCAGGCUACCCUAUUAGAAACACCAGAACUUGUAAUUUAUGGUACCUCAUCCCCCGAGCACAGGACAUCUGAAAGUUCCAGUUUGCAAUAUUUCAGUUAAAUGCAGGGAAGAACGUGGUGCUUGGCAAGGACCACACCAUCUUCUCUUUGAUUGAUGGACUCGUAAAAUUUGAGAAGUUUGGACCUGACAGAAAGAAGGUGAGUGUUUAUACUUUAUAUAUCCACGAGAAAUACAGCCAGAGAACCCCAACAGUUACAGAGAAGAGAGACUACUUUAGACUGCGGGAACGCAUGAAAGCAACAAUGGAAGGCAUUUCUGCUUGAUCUCAACAAGUAUUGGCUUCUGUUGUUGAUGCGACAUAUAGCCAUAUCAUUUGCUAAUAUUCUCGCUUUGGGUAUAGGCUGCAAUCUGAAUCAUUGACAUCGAGUAGUGUAGCUGUGAACACUUGCACCAGCUUUGCAAACGUGAGUUCUGUUUUAUUUUUUA